rnacentral:rRNA from 1 species
UACGUAGGGUGCGAGCGUUGUCCGGAAUUAUUGGGCGUAAAGAGCUUGUAGGCGGCUUGUCGCGUCGGAUGUGAAAGCCCGGGGCUUAACUCCGGGUCUGCAUUCGAUACGGGCAGGCUAGAGUUCGGUAGGGGAGAUCGGAAUUCCUGGUGUAGCGGUGAAAUGCGCAGAUAUCAGGAGGAACACCGGUGGCGAAGGCGGAUCUCUGGGCCGAUACUGACGCUGAGGAGCGAAAGCGUGGGGAGCGAACAGG